UGAGGUCCAGAGAAUGUGGUUUUCCAGG
rnacentral:piRNA from 1 species